rnacentral:rRNA from 1 species
UACGGGAGGCAGCAGUGGGGAACUUUGGGGAGGCAGCAGUGGGGAAUUUUACCCAAUGGGCGCGAGCGAAGAAGACCUUCGGGUUGUGGGUGAAGAAGUCCUUGGAAGAUGUAAAGCCCUUUGAACAGCGAAGAGGAAGGACGGUACUGGCAGAACAAGCCCCGGCUAACUACGUCCAGCAGCCGCGGUAAAACGUAGGGGGGAGCGUUGUCCGAAUCACUGGGCGUAAAGGGCGAGUAGGCGGCCCAUAAGACAGAAAGUGAAUCCCCAGGGUUUACC